AUUGAACGCUGGCGGCAGGCUUAACACAUGCAAGUCGAGCGGGGUGAUGGUGCUUGCACUAUCACUUAGCGGCGGACGGGUGAGUAAUGCUUAGGAAUCUGCCUAUUAGUGGGGGACAACAUCUCGAAAGGGAUGCUAAUACCGCAUACGUCCUACGGGAGAAAGCAGGGGAUCACUUGUGACCUUGCGCUAAUAGAUGAGCCUAAGUCGGAUUAGCUAGUUGGUGGGGUAAAGGCCUACCAAGGCGACGAUCUGUAGCGGGUCUGAGAGGAUGAUCCGCCACACUGGGACUGAGACACGGCCCGGACUCCUACGGGAGGCAGCAGUGGGGAAUAUUGGACAAUGGGGAGAACCCUGAUCCAGCCAUGCCGCGUGUGUGAAGAAGGCCUUAUGGUUGUAAAGCACUUUAAGCGAGGAGGAGGCUCUUUUGGUUAAUACCCAAGAUGAGUGGACGUUACUCGCAGAAUAAGCACCGGCUAACUCUGUGCCAGCCGCCGCGGUAA
rnacentral:rRNA from 1 species